GGGGCUUGCAUCAAAUCUAAUUAAAUUAGAUUUAAUGUGACUUGAUAUAAAUUUGAUUUGAUCAAAUCUAAUUGGGUUAUGAGAUAAUCAAAUUGCAUGAGAGAAUGAUUCCUAAUUGAAUUAGGAUUUGGGUUUGACUCAAUUCCUAAUUAGACUAGGAUCCAAACAAGAAUAUUUGAAUUCCUAUUUGGACUAAGAAUUCUCAUUUUCAUGGGUGCGCCA
rnacentral:lncRNA from 1 species